rnacentral:rRNA from 1 species
GGAUGAACGCUGGCGGCGUGCCUAAUACAUGCAAGUCGAACGCGAGAGGAGGGAGCUUGCUCCCUCUGAUCGAGUGGCGGACGGGUGAGUAACACGUAGGCAACCUGCCCAUCAGUCCGGGAUAACCGCGGGAAACCGUGGCUAAUACCGGAUGAUCCUCUCCACCGCGGGGUGGRGAGUUGAAAGACGGUUUCGGCUGUCGCUGAUGGAUGGGCCUGCGGCGCAUUAGCUGGUUGGCGGGGUAAGGGCCCACCAAGGCAACGAUGCGUAGCCGACCUGAGAGGGUGAUCGGCCACACUGGGACUGAGACACGGCCCAGACUCCUACGGGAGGCAGCAGUAGGGAAUCUUCCGCAAUGGACGCAAGUCUGACGGAGCAACGCCGCGUGAGUGAAGAAGGGUUUCGGCUCGUAAAACUCUGUUGUUGAGGAAGAACGACAGGUAGAGUAACUGCUACCUGUGUGACGGUACUCAACCAGAAAGCCACGGCUAACUAC